UAGCUACACCUUGUAACAAGUUCAUUUCUUCUUUGCAUCAUUCCGUAUUUUACAUUCGGUACGCCCUGUAUAUAAAUUUCUACUUCUAUGCGUUGGAUUAGUUCCGCCAGGUGGCAGGACCUUACAGCGCGAUCCAAAAUUUCACAUGCUUUUCUUUCCGAUUCCGACUCUGAUCGAACGAACAACUAAGCCGUUCUACGUGAGAAAAGAAAAACACGUGGGUAAUCUUUGCCACCACUGUUAGUUAAAAACUUUGGCAAUUCUACCCGUAUUAAUUGCGAGACAAGUAGUCUGCAGCAUUUUACCGUUCAUCGGGCUUUAACGUGAAACUUUUUUUCUUCGAAUUACGGAUAUACUGGAAGAUGUGUAAUUGAGGAACGCUUGGUAUUUAAUCCCUCUUAAAUUUACUUAGAGGGUCCUUGUUCGAUACCGAAAUUCCUUGUUCGGGGGAAAUAUCUUGUUCGAGAUCACCUGUUGAUUGGGGGAAAAUUUUGGAGAUUCAUUAUCAACCAUAGACACCUAGGAGGUCGUGACCAACAACCUUAUCUGAGAGAGAUAAGAGCGGCCAUUUUAUGAAGACGAGGGAGAAACUCAUUUAACUACAUACUGUUUCGACAUGAUCGAGAAUGCCUUUUUUUUUUGCUUGAUCGGAUAUAUUAAUUUUUGUGUGGCUGCGACACUCCAUCAGAGACACAGACAUUUUUAGAGGGGUAUCGAGAUUUGAGCUUACCGCAAGCUUCGUAGGUCCUUCAGACAUUUAUUCAUAAUAUAUUCCGAACCCUGUGGUUUGGGCCCUUUUUGUUCUCUUUUGAUUGCAGAGAUGAAUGGUGCAAACAGAGCUCUCUUUGCUGCCUCACAUCUGGAAUAUUACAUAAGGUAAGCGUUAUAUUCUAUUUGCCUUGUUGUUACCGAACUUGCGUUGGGAUAUUUUCGUUACUAGUUGUGACCGGUAGUAACGUAACCAUUUUGUAAUUUAUAUGUGUGAUUCAUUUAUUAAUCUUAACGAUCAUUAAGGAACAGUAAUUGGGGGCAAUCAUUUUUGAA